rnacentral:rRNA from 1 species
CCUGAGAGGGUGACCGGCCACACUGGGACUGAGACACGGCCCAGACUCCUACGGGAGGCAGCAGUGGGGAAUAUUGCACAAUGGGCGCAAGCCUGAUGCAGCAACGCCGCGUGAGGGAUGACGGCCUUCGGGUUGUAAACCUCUUUUAGCAGGGAAGAAGCGAAAGUGACGGUACCUGCAGAAAAAGCGCCGGCUAACUACGUGCCAGCAGCCGCGGUAAUACGUAGGGCGCAAGCGUUAUCCGGAAUUAUUGGGCGUAAAGAGCUCGUAGGCGGUUUGUCGCGUCUGCUGUGAAAUCCGGAGGCUCAACCUCCGGCCUGCAGUGGGUACGGGCAGACUAGAGUGCGGUAGGGGAGAUUGGAAUUCCUGGUGUAGCGGUGGAAUGCGCAGAUAUCAGGAGGAACACCGAUGGCGAAGGCAGAUCUCUGGGCCGUAACUGACGCUGAGGAGCGAAAGGGUGGGGAGCAAACAGGCUUAGAUACCCUGGUAGUCCACCCCGUAAACGUUGGGAACUAGUUGUGGGGUCCAUUCCACGGAUUCCGUGACGCAGCUAACGCAUUAAGUUCCCCGCCUGGGGAGUACGGCCGCAAGGCUAAAACUCAAAGGAAUUGACGGGGACCCGCACAAGCGGCGGAGCAUGCGGAUUAAUUCGAUGCAACGCGAAGAACCUUACCAAGGCUUGACAUAUACGAGAACGGGCCAGAAAUGGUCAACUCUUUGGACACUCGUAAACAGGUGGUGCAUGGUUGUCGUCAGCUCGUGUCGUGAGAUGUUGGGUUAAGUCCCGCAACGAGCGCAACCCUCGUUCUAUGUUGCCAGCACGUAAUGGUGGGAACUCAUGGGAUACUGCCGGGGUCAACUCGGAGGAAGGUGGGGAUGACGUCAAAUCAUCAUGCCCCUUAUGUCUUGGGCUUCACGCAUGCUACAAUGGCCGGUACAAAGGGCUGCAAUACCGCGAGGUGGAGCGAAUCCCAAAAAGCCGGUCCCAGUUCGGAUUGAGGUCUGCAACUCGACCUCAUGAAGUCGGAGUCGCUAGUAAUCGCAGAUCAGCAACGCUGCGGUGAAUACGUUCCCGGGUCUUGUACACACCGCCCGUCAAGUCAUGAAAGUCGGUAACACCUGAAGCCGGUGGCCUAACCCUUGUGGAGGGAGC